rnacentral:rRNA from 1 species
UACGGAGGGUGCGAGCGUUGUCCGGAAUCACUGGGCGUAAAGGGCGCGUAGGCGGCGCGGGCAGUCAACGGUGAAAGCUUGGGGCUCAACCCCGAGUCGGCCGUCGAUACUCCCGGGCUGGAGCACUGUAGAGGCAGGUGGAAUUCCGGGUGUAGCGGUGGAAUGCGUAGAGAUCGGGAAGUACAUCGGUGGCGAAGGCGGUCUGCUGGGCCGUUGCUGACGCUGAGGCGCGACAGCGUGGGGAGCAAACAGG